UAUAAAUGCAUACAAACAUUGCUUAACCCAAUCAAAACUUCUUUCCUUUUCAGCAUUAUAUAAAUGUUAGAAUCAUGCUUCUUGUAGAUCUCAGGUUGUUUCUUGUCUGAAUUUAAAUCUCAAGGCAUGUUCACUACAUUAUUACAUUAGUUGUGACAAGCUAAGCUUCUCAUAACUAGCCAGAAAUUUUCUUCAUGGAUGAAUCCAAAUUUGCAGCAGGAGAUAGAAUGGGCUGAAUGAAGAUGGAGAAGCAGGGCACAUGCCCGAUUUUCGUCGCUGUGUAAUUUCUUUGAAAAUCCGGCAUGUGUCCUGGCCCUCCAUCUUCUUCCCUCAUUCUGAUGAAUUCAGACAAGAUCAUAAGUUGGAAGAAAAUAAAAAUAAAAAUCAUGCAGCUCAAGCAAAUGCCAUGGCUUCUGUUUCUGCUCUAACCAAGUUGGCGUAGAUGCCGCCGUCUAGGUUGGCAGCCAGCAGCGUGUCGUGGUCGCCGUAUUCGGCCACGGAGCCGUCGCGUAUGACGGCUAUGAAGUCCGCCUCUCUUAUUGUGGAGAGGCGGUGGGCCACCACGACGGUGGUGGCCCGCCUCGAGGCCUUCUUGAGCGCGCUCUGGAUGUGCCUCUCCGACUCUAAGUCGAGGGCGCUGCUCGCCUCGUCCAGCAGUAGCACCCUCGCCUUCUUCAGCACUGCCCGUGCUAUCGCAAUCCGCUGCUUCUGCCCGCCGGAGAGCUGCACACCGCUCUGCCCAACCUGCAACAAGGAAACACCAACAUUAGCCACAAAAUUAGAUCAAAUUUUGACACCUCUACCAAAUCUAUUUCAUCUUAUUUUAUAAAAUUUGAUUUACCUAUUAUAUGAUUGUAUCUAUUUAGUUUAAAGGCAAUUGUAUAAUUUAACAUACAUAUACAUGUAAUAAAUCCAAAUAUUUGGUUAUGUUUUAUAUUUUAAUAAUUAUUUAUAUAUUAAUAUCCAUUAUAAUUCCUUAUCCACAUAAUCUAGAAAAGUUCUCCAUCCACAUAAAUUACUA